rnacentral:rRNA from 1 species
AUGGAGCUAGGCCUCACGCUCCAGCUAGCCGCGCCGCCGGCGCGCCUCCCCCACGGGUAUAUUGCAUCGCCGUGCCCGCCAGUAAUGAGCGGAGUCCGGGCGGGGAGGCGCGAGAGUAGGAGGGCUGGGGCUGUGUCGACGAGUGGGGGUGUGAGCUACGCGGUGGUUGAAGAUGGGAAGGUGAACGAGGGGGAGGAGAUGUCGAGGCCGCGGCUGGAGUUCAUCGAGAAGUUAGAUCGGUACCUGGCGCUGCUGGACGAGUACGAGUCGGAGGAGCUGGGGGCGGCGCUCUGCGCCAACCACCGCAGUGUUGAGCCUUCUUCUUCUUCUUUGUGGUUUGCUUUGUUUGUAGCCCGGCUUGUGGGGAUGGUCAGUGGCAAGGCAGAGCGGAACACGGACGUGUCCUUCGCGCUCGACGACGGCACCGGCCGUAUCGACAUCAUCAGAUGGCUGACAUGGAAAAAGUUAUGGAACAAGAGGUACCAGAAGGUGGAGAACCAAAGAAUGUUGCUGCUGUUGUUGCUGACAUUCUCACUAAAGAAUGUCCCUCCAGCACAUUCCUUCAAAAUGUUGGCCUUGAGUCGAGCUCCAAGAUGA